rnacentral:lncRNA from 1 species
GCAUGGAUCAUCCUCAGGAUGCCGGCGUUUCUCAAAAACGCAUAAAAGUCAAUGAAAGUUUUGAACAAGACCAAGCGAGUAAGAAAAGGAAAUGCCUUCAAAAGUACAAGGACUUGUACACUAUUGAACUGAACCGGCAACGUUCCAACACUAAAGUAGAGGUUAUGAUGUGCGAGUUGAUAGCAGAACUAAACCUACCCCUGUCAUCUGCCGAUACAUAAUUCAACAAAGCAUUUAAACUAAUGUUUCCCGAUUCUAAAAUCGCAGGAGGUCAGUUUUUAUUCUAUUUUCUAUGUGUAGGCAGGAGAUGUGAAUGAUCCAUAUCUUAUAAAUGGAUCUGUCCCACAUGUCUCUUAUUUUCUUUCUUACGAAACCCAACUUUAUUGGCCUGGGCAUAUAGGGAGGGGUAAUGAAAUGUUAAAAUCCUAGGAGGGGUGCUGCCGAAAUUUUUUUUAGGGUUGG